CCGGUUGAUCCUGCCAGAGGCUACUGCUAUCGGGGUCCGACUAAGCCAUGCGAGUUGAGAGGGGUAAGCCCUCGGCAUAUUGCUCAGUAACACGCGGAUAACCUGCCCUUGGGUUUGGGAUAACCCCGGGAAACUGGGACUAAUACCGGAUAGAUCAAAGAAACUGGAAUGUUCUCUGAUCGAAAGCUCCGGCGCCCAAGGAUGGGUCUGCGGCCUAUCAGGUAGUAGUGGGUGUAACGUACCUACUAGCCUACGACGGGUAAGGGUUGUGAGAGCAAGAGCCCUGAGAUGGAUUCUGAGACAUGAAUCCAGGCCCUACGGGGUGCAGCAGGCGCGAAAACUUUACACUGCGGGAAACCGCGAUAAGGGGACCCCGAGUGCCAGCACCUAGUGCUGGCUGUCCAGCUGUUCAAAUAACAGUUGUUAGCAAGGGCCGGGCAAGACCGGUGCCAGCCGCCGCGGUAACACCGGCGGCCCGAGUGGUAGCCGUUAUUAUUGGGUUUAAAGGGUCCGUAGCCGGCCUAUUAAGUCUCUUGGGAAAUCUGGCGACUCAAUCGUCAGGCGUUCAAGAGAUACUGGUAGGCUUGGGACCGGGAGAGGUGGGAGGUACUCCAGGGGUAGGGGUGAAAUCUCGUAAUCCUUGGGGGACCACCGAUGGCGAAGGCAUCCCACCAGAACGGGUCCGACGGUGAGGGACGAAAGCUGGGGGCACGAACCGGAUUAGAUACCCGGGUAGUCCCAGCCGUAAACGAUGCUCGCUAGGUGUCAGGUGCGGUGCGACCGCAUCUGGUGCCGCAGUGAAAACUUGAAGCGAGUCACCUGGGAAGUACGGUCGCAAGGCUGAAACUUAAAGGAAUUGGCGGGGGAGCACUACAACGGGUGGAGCCUGCGGUUCAAUUGGAUUCAACGCCGGG
rnacentral:rRNA from 1 species